rnacentral:rRNA from 1 species
UACGUGCCAGCAGCCGCGGUAAGACGUAGGACGCGAGCGUUAUCCGGAUUUACUGGGCGUAAAGCGCCUGCAGGCGGUCAGGUAAGUCGGUUGUGAAAGCCCCGUGCUCAACGCGGGGAGGCCAAGCGAUACUGCGUGACUUGAGGGCGGAAGAGGGGAGUGGAAUUCCCGGUGUAGCGGUAAAAUGCGCAGAUAUCGGGAGGAACACCAGUGGCGAAGGCGGCUCCCUGGACCGCACCUGACGCUCAGAGGCGAAAGCUAGGGGAGCGAACAGGAUUAGAGACCCUGGUAGUCCUAGCCCUAAACGCUGGAUGCUAGGUGUAGGGCUGAUGAGGCUCUGUGCCGGAGCGAACGCGAUAAGCAUCCCGCCUGGGAACUACGGCCGCAAGGCUAAAACUCAAACGAAUUGACGGGGACCCGCACAAGCAGCGGAGCGUGUGGUUUAAUUCGAUGCUACACGAAGAACCUUACCUGGGUUUGACAUGCUGGUGGUACCGAACCGAAAGGGGAGGGACCCUUCGGGGAGCCAACACAGGUGCUGCAUGGCUGUCGUCAGCUCGUGCCGUGAGGUGUCGGGUUAAGUCCCGUAACGAGCGCAACCCUUGCUCUUAGUUAUACGUGUCUAAGGGGACUGCCGGCGACAAGCCGGAGGAAGGUGGGGAUGACGUCAAGUCAGCAUGGCCUUGAUAUCCAGGGCUACACACACGCUACAAUGGCCGGUACAAAGGGCAGCCAAGCCGCGAGGUGGAGCGAAUCCCAGCAAAGCCGGUCCCAGUUCGGAUUGCAGGCUGCAACCCGCCUGCAUGAAGUUGGAGU